AUGCCUUACGGUUUAAAGCUUUAGCGUCUGAGGAUGGGUCUGCGGCCGAUUAGGUAGUUGCUGGGGUAACGUCCCAACAAGCCGAUAAUCGGUACGGGUUGUGAGAGCAAGAGCCCGGAGAUGGAUUCUGAGACACGAAUCCAGGUCCUACGGGGCGCAGCAGGCGCGAAAACUUUACACUGCGCGAAAGCGCGAUAAGGGGACCUCGAGUGCGUGCGCAAUGCGUACGCUUUUCAUACGCCUAAAAAGCAUGUGGAAUAAGAGCCGGGCAAGACCGGUGCCAGCCGCCGCGGUAACACCGGCGGCUCGAGUGGUGGCCGCUAUUAUUGGGCUUAAAGGGUCCGUAGCCGGACCAGUUAGUCCCUUGGGAAAUCUUACGGCUUAACCGUAAGGCUGCCAAUGGAUACUGCUGGUCUUGGGACCGGGAGAGGCAAGAGGUACCUCAGGGGUAGGAGUGAAAUCCUGUAAUCCUUGAGGGACCGCCAGUGGCGAAGGCGUCUUGCUAGAACGGGUCCGACGGUGAGGGACGAAAGCUAGGGGCACGAACCGGAUUAGAUACCCGGGUAGUCCUAGCCGUAAACGAUGCGAGCUAGGUGUCACGUGGAUUGCGAAUCCAUGUGGUGCCGUAGGGAAACCGUGA
rnacentral:rRNA from 1 species